rnacentral:rRNA from 1 species
UUGGCCCUACGGGACGCAGCAGUGGGGGAUAUUGCACAAUGGGCGAAAGCCUGAUGCAGCGACGCCGCGUGAGGGAAGACGGUCUUCGGAUUGUAAACCUCUGUCUUUGGGGAAGAAGAUGACGGUACCCAAAGAGGAAGCUCCGGCUAACUACGUGCCAGCAGCCGCGGUAAUACGUAGGGAGCGAGCGUUGUCCGGAAUUACUGGGUGUAAAGGGAGCGUAGGCGGGGAUGUAAGUUGGAUGUUUAAACUAUCUGCUCAACCGGUACU